rnacentral:tRNA from 1 species
GCGGUAGUGGUGUAACCUGGCAGCACAGAGGACUGUGGAUCCUCUAGACCGGAUUCAAAUUCCGGCUACCGCC